GGCAUGGCUCAAGCGGCCGCGGAGCACAUCUAGCCGACUGUCGUUUUAAUCAUCAGUUCCGAUGUGGUAUAGUGGAUAGAACAAGCGGCUCUCACCCGCUAGACCCGGGUUCGAUCCCCGGCAUCGGAAGUUUUUCUGCGCGUCUUUG
rnacentral:tRNA from 1 species